rfam:Gossypium arboreum cultivar AKA8401 contig_111127_1, whole genome shotgun sequence.
GAAUACGGGAGAGGGGUGUUACAAAAGGUCCUUGUAUCUCUCCCAUGCAUCGUAGAGUGUUUCUAAAUCCAUCUGCACAAAAGAAGAGAUAUCAUUACGUAAUUU